UACGUAGGCAGCAAGCGUUGUUCGGAGUUACUGGGCGUAAAGGGUGUGUAGGCGGUUAUUUAAGUUUGGUGUGAAAUCUCCCGGCUCAACCGGGAGGGUGCGCCGAAUACUGAAUGACUUGGAGUGCGGGAGAGGAAAGUGGAAUUCCCGGUGUAGAGGUGAAAUUCGUAGAUAUCGGGAGGAACACCAGAGGCGAAGGCGGCGACCUGGAACGUGACUGACACUGAGCAGCGAAAGCGUGGGGAGCAAACAGG
rnacentral:rRNA from 1 species